UUACUGCACAUCUUCCAAAGGGUUAAACCUGGCCCAGAAGCUCCUCCUUCAAGCAACCACACUUUCUGAUUGUGGAGUCACUUGCUAUAUAAGGCCCUCACACAUCUGCUCCAACCCUUCCCAGGACCUGUCUUCUACAGACCAAUCUCUGGAAUAGACCGAGAAGUGAAGCCAUGACUUCAUCCUCAGCCCUGAAGAACCUCAUAUCCACCUGUGCUCUCACCACCUUGAUUUUCAACACUGUGGAGACUUAUACAUGUGCACAGUGUUAUGCUGACUGUCAUCCUGGUGCGCUGAAUACUUGUGAAACUUCUCAAGGCUGCGUCAACCAAAGGCAAGAAUUAGUGGAUUCAGGGCUGCUCACAGGACGUUUUGAUAUAAAAGACUGUUCUUCAAGCACUUGUGUUCCCCUUGACUUCUCGGUAUCAAUGGGGAAAGGUAUUUCUUGGGGGUAUGUGAACAAAUGCUGCCAAAGUGAUCGUGUAACCAAGAGAACGUACUAGUGCCUCAGAAGUCCUCAGAACCCAAUGGCAUCACAUGUCCUGUCUGCUUCAACAAGAAUAAUAUGGGUUCCUGUAACCCAGUUUCCUUUGCUUGCACUGGUAGAGAGACAAAGUGC